GCCCCAGUGGCCUAAUGGAUAAGGUGCUGGCCUCCUAAGCCAGGGAUUGUUGGAUCAAGUCCCAUCUGGGGUG
rnacentral:tRNA from 1 species